rnacentral:rRNA from 1 species
CGUGAUUUGGGCUAUAUUACGAACACAAAAUUACUGUUCAAUCAUUGUUUUACAAUUUUUUUCAUGCUUUCAAAGCCUCGCUUAAGAACUAGAAUGGGGCUAUCACUAACAUAGCCGGGCUGUCGAACCCACCGACCGGAAUGGCUUCAAUCCAAGUUCUUUCAAAAAAAAGCAAUAUAUACCGCAUUGCCAUUGCCAUAUACUAACGCUAUGCCCGAUCAUACCAGCCACUCAAUACACGAGAUCCCAUCAGAACUCCGCCAGAUUAAGCCGUGCCUUGGGCCGCAAUAUUGUAACAUAAGAGAAUGGGUGACCUCCCGGGAAGUCCUCGUGUUGCAUCCCUCUUUUUUUUUAAUUUGUUUUUUUUGGUUAAAACUUUAUGACUCUAUAACUUUUAUACCGUGAGGCCAAACUAGGCAUGUGAUACCUUUUCGGAGAUCCCAAUAGAGAACCGGGGUCCGACGAAACCCCCACCGGACAAAC